UACGUAGGUGGCAAGCGUUGUCCGGAAUUAUUGGGCGUAAAGCGCGCGCAGGCGGUUAUGUAAGUCUGAUGUUAAAGCCCAGGGCUCAACCUCGGUUCGCAUUGGAAACUGCGUAACUUGAGUGCAGAAGAGGAAAGUGGUAUUCCACGUGUAGCGGUGAAAUGCGUAGAUAUGUGGAGGAACACCAGUGGCGAAGGCGACUUUCUUGUCUGUAACUGACGCUGAGGCGCGAAAGCGUGGGGAGCAAACAGG
rnacentral:rRNA from 1 species